rnacentral:lncRNA from 1 species
CCUGGCCCACUGCACGCUGGCUGACCUGCCCGCUCGCCCCACGGACAGCUGCUCCCCUCCUUCGCCCGGGACCCAAGGCCCGGCCCUUCGGCCGGAUGGAUGGACGGAUAUUGGCCCCGGCAGAUGGACAGGCGGACGGUCGGUCGGCUGCCGGCCGGCUCCUGGAACCUGGGCCCCUCCAUACUACCCAUUUCCUGGGCCCUCCCGAUCCAGGAAACAAGACGGGCGGGGCGUGGGCCGGCCAGGAGCCCUCAAGACAGUCCCGGGGCGCGGCGCCGCCCAGAGGGGGCAAGAACCCGUGUCCCGAGGUAGAGAGAAAAAGCAACGGAGACAAAGCAAGCCGACCCACCGCUCCAGCCCGAACGUGCACCCACCUCACCUCACUGUCUCGGGGGGCUUCUCCUGGCCUGAGAGGGACCUGGCGGGGAAGGCAUCCAAGCGGAAGCGGAAUCCUGACACCUUGGCUGCAGGUCCUGGGCCCCUCCCCGUCCCCGCCUCUGCCUGGACCCCUCCUCACCUCUCCUCCCUGCCCGCCCCACCCCACCCCCACCCCGGUGCCCCCAAGCCCGGCCACCCCCUCCCCCUCCCCCUAGCCCGGCCACCCCACACCCACCCCGACCCCUCCCCUGCCAGCCUCAGGGCCCUGCCUCCUGCCCCAGGCCCAGCCCAAGCCCCUUCCUUGCGAAAGCCGCCUCUUCAGCAGGGCCUCUCUCUGAUCUGUGUCAGGCUCUGGGACCCUAUGGGUCCCGAGUGCCUCUCUGGGUCUGGGGGUCGUAUCCCCUCCUCCCGCCACCUCUCCUUCCGUCUCUGGGUCUCUGUCAGUCUCCCUAGCUUCUUCUCUCUCCCUCUCUCUCCCUCUCUCUCUCUCCCUCUCUCUCUCUCUCUCUCUCUCUCUCUCUCUCUCUCUCUGCCCCCCACCCCCGCCUGCGCUGGCACGCGCACCCGCGUGCGCGUUUGUGUGUGUGUGUGUGUGUGUGUGUGUGUAUUGUGUGAGUGUGACAGAGCCAGAGAGCCAGAGAGAGACGUGGUGGGUGGGUGGGGGUGGCAUCUUGUGGGCAGGGGAACAGGCUCCGAGCCCGCCCGGCCGCCUGCCCAUCCUCAGCUCUCCCCGCCAGGAGCUCUCCGGUUUGACGACGAGGCCCCCCGCCCCGUGUCCUGGACUCCUGUGGGGAAGGGUGGCCUUGGAAAGGCCACCUGGCGGGCCUGAUGCCCUCCUGCUGCACGCUGGUCGCUCCGCGUGGGGUUGGCGCAAGGGUGAGGGGGCG